rnacentral:lncRNA from 1 species
CUGAGCGUGGAGGAGGCGCUGGCGGCGAAGCGCCUCUUCAUCCUCGACUACCACGACGUGUUCCUCCCCUACGUGCUCCGCGUCCGCGAGCAGCCCGACACGACACUCUACGGCUCCCGCACCGUCUUCUUCCUCACCGACGCCGGCACCCUCAUGCCGCUGGCCAUCGAGCUCACGCGGCCGCAGUCGCCGACCAAGCCCCAGUGGAAGCGGGUCUUCACCCACGGGCCCGACGCCACCGGCGCCUGGCUCUGGAAGCUCGCCAAGGCCCACGUCCUCACCCACGACACCGGCUACCACCAGCUCGUCAGCCACUGGCUGCGCACCCACUGCUGCGUCGAGCCCUACAUCAUCGCCGCCAACCGGCAGCUCAGCCGCCUCCACCCCGUCUACCGCCUCCUGCACCCGCACUUCCGCUACACCAUGGAGAUCAACGCGCUGGCCAGGGAGAGCCUCAUCAACGCCGACGGCAUCAUCGAGGCGGCGUUCUGGCCGGGGAAGUACUCCGUCGAGCUCAGCUCCGCCGCCUACGCCACGUGGCAGUUCGACACGGAGGCGCUGCCCAACGACCUCGUCCGGCGGGGGCUCGCCGUGCGAAAGGACGACGGCGAGCUGGAGCUCGUCAUCAAGGACUACCCCUACGCCAACGACGGGCUCAUGGUCUGGAACUCCAUCAAGCAGUGGGCGGCGGACUAUGUGAAGAUAUACUACAAGUCGGACGAGGCCGUCGCCGGCGACGCCGAGCUGCAGGCGUUCUGGGAGGAGGUGCGCACGGUGGGGCACGGCGACAAGAAGGACGAGCCGUGGUGGCCCGUGCUCGACGGCCGGGACGCCCUCGUCGAGACGCUCACCACCAUCAUGUGGGUCACGUCGGGGCACCACUCGGCGGUGAACUUCGGGCAGUACCACUACGGCGGCUACUUCCCCAACCGCCCCACCGUGAUCCGGAAGAACAUGCCGGUGGAGGAGGGCCGGGACGACGAGAUGAAGAGGUUCCUGGACCAGCCGGAGGGGACGCUGCUGGACAUGCUCCCAACGCAGAUGCAGGCCAUCACGGUGAUGACCACGCUGGACAUCCUCUCCUCGCACUCGCCCGACGAGGAGUACAUGGGCGACCACGCCGAGCCGGC